UCCGGGGUAGCUCAGCUUGGGAGAGCGCGAGCUCGUAAGCUCGAGGUCGAGGGUUCAAAUCCCUUCCCCGGAA
rnacentral:tRNA from 1 species